GACGAACGCUGGCGGCGUGCUUAACACAUGCAAGUCGAACGGGAGUAUUGAAGAAGCUUGCUUUAGAGAUACUUUAGUGGCGGACGGGUGAGUAACGCGUGAGGAGCUGUCCUAUGCAGGGGGACAACAGUUGGAAACGACUGCUAAUACCCCAUAAACCGCGAGGUAAAAGGAGCGAUCCGGCAGAGGAGGUACUCGCGUCCUAUCAGCUAGUAGGUGAGGUAACGGCUCACCUAGGCGAAGACGGGUAGCCGGCCUGAGGGGGCGAACGGCCACACUGGAACUGAGAUACGGUCCAGACUCCUACGGGAGGCAGCAGUGGGGAAUAUUGGGCAAUGGGGGCAACCCUGACCCAGCGACGCCGCGUGGGUGAAGAAAUCCCUCGGGAUGUAAAGCCCUGUUGUAUGGGAAGAGCAGAAGACGGUACCAUACGAGGAAGCCCCGGCAAACUACGUGCCAGCCGCCGCCGUAA
rnacentral:rRNA from 1 species